UGGGGAAUCUUGCGCAAUGGGCGAAAGCCUGACGCAGCGACGCCGCGUGAGGGAGGAAGGCCUUCGGGUUGUAAACCUCUUUCAGGAGGGACGAAGCUACUCGGGUGAACAGCCCAGAGGGUGACGGUACCUCCAGAAGAAGCCCCGGCUAACUACGUGCCAGCAGCCGCGGUAAUACGUAGGGGGCAAGCGUUGUCCGGAUUUACUGGGCGUAAAGCGCGUGUAGGCGGCCAUGCAGGUCCGUUGUGAAAACUGGAGGCUCAACCUCCAGACGUCGACGGAAACCUCGUGGCUAGAGUCCGGAAGAGGAGAGUGGAAUUCCUGGUGUAGCGGUGAAAUGCGCAGAUAUCAGGAAGAACACCAAUGGCGAAGGCAGCUCUCUGGGACGGUACUGACGCUGAGACGCGAAAGCGUGGGGAGCGAACAGGAUUAGGAUACCCUGGUAGUCCACGCCGUAAACGAUGGGUGCUAGGGUGUGGGAGGUGUCGACUCCUUCCGUGCCGUAG
rnacentral:rRNA from 1 species